UGCAUCUCCCCCCCUCCGCCCGAGCCAUCGUCUCCCCCGCUCCCCCCGAGCCACAAGCACACCCAUUCCCCUCCCCUCCAAACCUAGCCGCCCCGCUCCCCUCCCUCUCCACGGCGCCGCCGCCUCCUCCCCUUCUGCCCUGCUCUCCACCGCGCCGCCUCUUCCUCCCCUUCACUAUUCUCUCCAGCGACGGCAAAGAUCUGGCGGCAAAGGGAGACGACGAGGGCGCUCGAUCCGAUCUGCUGAAGAGAAAAGAUGAGAGGGAGAGAGAUCACCGGAAGGAGUGCCGCCGGCUCGUCGUCUUUCAUACCUACACACGCAACUGCCGGCUGCAGGGGUGUUGAGAGGAGUUAGAGGUCGUGCGCCGGCCGGAGCAGCAGGAGCAAGGAUAUGGCCGCCUCUCUUCUCUGCCACGGUUCCCUCCUCUUCCUUCAGCUCUCGAGAUGUCGACCUGCAGGUUUAGGCAAACCAUUGUUUGACAACAAAUAUGCGGAGGCGUUUUUAUGGAUGUGCAUUUCACCUGAAUCUGGAGAGCUAUUCAAUCUGUCGCGGACAUUUUUGGUGGAAUUCAGUGCUUCAGCAGCUUGGGAGCAAGUAGAAAUACCUGAUUUGAUGCUCAUGCUUCCAAAAUUUUCACAUUUCGCGAGAGCUAGGCGUACUUCUUGAUGACCUUGCCGUCUCCAACCCAUCCGAUUAUUAUGGAUUUUCUGAAGGUGGUGGUGGGGGUUGCACGGCAUGUUCCAUCUGGUUUCAGGAGUGUGUGCUGCACCUGAAAAAAUUUCUCGGGUUGUCUCUUCGUAUUUCCACCUUAGUUGUGAUAUUUUAUUUAUUGCUAAUCAUUUGAGUUAGUGUACAAUCAUAUAUUUGUCAUCCAUGGCUCCUUAGAGAGCUGGACAUGCUUGGUUGGAGUCAUCGUCGUCCUGGUUGGGGAGAUGAGCAUGCUUAUGCUUAUAUUACAAAGAUUAGUGUGUAGUCCUUCUAUGCCUUCUAAUUAGAUAGUUUGGCUUGAUUUUAGAUGCUUACAAUCUCUUGUCAUAGAAUUUUAUAAUUGCUUCUCAUGGAAAGCAGCCCUCUCCCAAGCUGACGGACUUGGUUUGUUUUUCAAUGUAGGCAUGAGGUCUCCGAGUCGUUUAAAUCUGAACGCAACACCAAGGCUGCUAGCCUGAGCAUUGCCGAACAAUACAUCAAAGCAUAGCUAAACUUGAUAAAAGCAAACAUGGAAGCCCUCCCUAAUUCAUCAAUUUACAAAGAUCAUAGCAGCAUGGCCUCGAUCUGGAGAAGGGGAGCAGCCACCGGCCGAUUCCAGCCCACUCCGGCGGUCCCAGCGGCCAUCCAGCACCUUCCUGUGCUCUCUACCAUCUCCAUUGCGCUAACUCGACCUGCAGGUCCUCAACAUCAUCCGCAACUAGCCCUAGCCGCUCGGACUGCUGGUAUGCGGUGUCACCAUGGACGCCGGCGCGGCGCCUGCACCUCUGACUGUUUCCUCCGCGUUGCCUAUGGGGCAUCCACCUCCUUGAUGGUGGCAACAGAGGGACUCUUUGGUGCCGGAGAGCUCGGGAUUCAUCACCCCUAACUGAAUCAACCCUGCUAUCACAGGUUCCCUCCUCCUGGUCCUUCAUUGCCACAAAAUUUCCCAUUACCUUGCAAUUUGUUAGAUUCAUUGAUUUUGCUAUCCUAUAGUCCUGGAUGGGUCCCCAGCCCCAGGCAAAUCAAUCUCAGUGGAAUCAUGGAGAUCAAAAGAUUUUGCUAUGUCGAUAUACUUCUAUGAAUUACAUAUUUUCUUCCUUGAGAGUAAUCAGUGUAAUCUUUGAAAAGUAGCCUCUGCAUGUUUAUGGCCUCUCAGCUUCGUGCUUAUGGUGCGGCUGCGUGGAAGCCGACGACAAGUACGGCCGCUCUCUACUUGCCUCUAAUAUGUAUGUCUUAACUCCCUCGAGAAAAGGAGUCUUUGCAAGGUCAGCCAGUACUCCACUUCACAUUCAAUCAUAUGCAGAAAUAUAUGCCAUGUUUUCCAAUAGUCUGCUCGCCUCUUCUACAUAAAAAGGUGCUGUGUUCUAAUUUUCUUUCACUGUUUAUGUUGAUUGACGACAGAGCAAACUAUGUGAUUUAAAUAAUCAUCAAGAACAUGUCAAUCAUUUCAAGUAAACAUUCUUUUUAUUGUACUGAAGAUGUGAAAUGGCUGCUUGGUGGAGGUGCCAGGAUUUAUGAAUUAAGCUAUCUGAUGAUGACAGUGCUUAUAUUUUAUAGUUUUACAUUUUUUAUUUAUCUGGAGGCAUCGCGUGCGUCCGCUGUUUAUGACCGCCGGAUCGAUUCACCACAGAUGGCGGUGAUGCAGACCAGGAACGCAUCGGACAUGGACGCUCUGCGGAAACUCGGCUCUGCCAGCGCCACCUCGGUGAGGAGGAAGACGCUCUGCGACAUCACCAACCUGAGGCGGCCGCUGGCGGCGGCAGGACGGGUUGAGGUACGCGGACGGCAUGGAUGGGAUCACUUGGUUGGUCAAGGCAAGAUUUGCUGACCCGACUCCACCGCCGUCUCUUUCUUGGUUAUGACUAUGAUGUGUUGCGGUCGCUAGCGCUGCUCUUUUUUUCUUGAAUCUAUGUGUGUAAAUGCAAGAGAAUUCGGAUCUUGUGAAGCUCCUGGAGGAGAGAGUAUUUUCCUUCAUCGAUUGUUCUCUUUUGUCUAGGAUGGAUAGGGCUUCUUGAUGUGUGGUUGUUCUGGUGUUUGACUCUAUUUGGAUUGAUUUGCAUAGUAUACAUCACGGCUCCAUAGUAGACAUCCAUGUUUAAAACUAAGAUCAGAUAUUUGAAUUGUCAGACUCUUUUGCUCAUUGUCAGACCAUGACUACGGCUUCCUAUUAAAGUUGUGUGGAAUGCUACUAAAAAGUGGACAAGAUUAUGCUUCAAAUGUAUUCUUUAUUCUCCUAGCCCCUUCAAGGCUUCUGGCUAAUGUUCGCCGAUGUGCUCCUGAAAGUUGCAAGAUGGCACUAUAUGGGGACAACCAUCAGUCAUCGCUCAGUCUCAAGAUCGCCAUGUACCUGAGCUGUUCUGCUGAAUAAUAUCUUGCAUAGUUUAUAUUGUCCUGUUUCCAUCUACAUAUAGGAAUACAUAUGUGGCAAGCACAUCCAGUCCUGAUACACUUGCAAUUUCUUACUAAUGGCCUGUGAAGUUAUGUCCUAUAAUAAUCAGUCUCACUAUAUUAAGACACAUGCAUCACUGCUAAACAUCCCAACUGAAACCACAGGCAGAUAAGUCAGCUUAAUUAUUCUACUACUUUCUAGAUGACAACAGUUAAACAAGAGGAGGCAGACACAGCCAGUGAUAUCAACGGUGGCCAAAUUACCCAUGGUGAUACUCAAAACAUACUUAUGAUGACUAUUGACUUAGGUUUCAAAUCAUAGAGAUUAUUUUAUCUUACCAUGAUUUUCUUAUCUAUUCAUCACGGACGAACCACUGUGUCGGAAGCACAACAAGCCAUUCGAGUAUAUUCAUCGCCCACGCAAAGCAAGCUCAAUCCAAAAGUUCAAAGGCAAGAAAAUCCACUGGAAAGUACAUUCUCCGUGGUAAGAGCUACAUUGCUCUACCCAUUCCAACAACUCUCACAUCAACUGCUAAAUGGUAUAACUUUGUAUAAUUUAACAUAGGUAAGCUUGGCAUCCACCACUUAGAUGAGUUUAGUCACCACAUUGUGUGUGGCAACAUAGUUAAGCUCUACAACCAUAAUGUUCAUAGACUGCGAAAGAUAAUCCACAGUACCACCACGCCUGAUCGCUACUAUGUGUGCCACAUGACAAAAACAUUUGCAACAGACGGCAAAAGAAUGUACUUUAGGGUUUCCUUUUCUACGGGUUCCCUUUUCCCACACAUGAAUGCUGAACAUGGUGAACUCUACUGGAGACGGAACUAUCGCUGUUACAGCCCGCUUUAUCAAGGGUGUUGACAAAAGGGCCAUCAUCACUAGAGGCUGGAGCCACUUCUUUCGUCAGGCACAGAUGAACAAAGGGCAAGCAUAUGCUUUCGCCUUCAAAAGCACUUCCAAAGGACUGCGCCUGAUCGUCUACUAAAUAUAAGCAAGUUGCAAGAGCCCUUUGUUAUAUAACUUAGCAUUAGUAUAGAUGCCUACCAAGAAUUCUAUGUUUAUCAUCCUUUUGAAUCUUAUGUAAUCCCCUAAGACCAUCCUGUGCAUUUAACU